GCCAGGUGUGGUGGCGCAUGCCUGUAAUCCCAGCUACUUGGGAGGCUGAGGUGGGAGAAUCACUUGAACCUGGGAGGUGGAGGUUGCAGUGAGCCAAGAUCGUGCCACUGCACUUCAGCCUGGGAGACAGAGUGAGACUCCGCCUCAA
rnacentral:SRP_RNA from 1 species